CGUCCCAUUAGCCAGUUGGUGGGGUAAAGGCCUACCAAAGCGACGAUGGGUAGCCGGACUGAGAGGUUGAACGGCCACAUUGGGACUGAGAGACGGCCCAAACUCCUACGGGAGGCAGCAGUAGGGAAUUUUCGGCAAUGGGGGAAACCCUGACCGAGCAACGCCGCGUGAAUGACGAAGUACUUCGGUAUGUAAAGUUCUUUUAUCAGGGAAGAAUGGCUAGCGGAAAAUAAUGGGAAGGAAUGACGGUACUUGAUGAAUAAGCCCCGGCUAACUAUGUGCCAGCAGCCGCGGUAAUACAUAGGGGGCAAGCGUUAUCCGGAAUUAUUGGGCGUAAAGGGUGCGUAGGCGGUUUAUUAAGUCUAUGGUGAAAGUGCGGGGCUCAACCCCGUAUGGCCAUAGAAACUGAUAGACUUGAGUGCAGGAGAGGGCAAUGGAAUUCCAUGUGUAGCGGUAAAAUGCGUAGAUAUAUGGAGGAACACCGGUGGCGAAGGCGGCUUGCUGGGCUAUAACUGACACUGAGGCACGAAAGCGUGGGGAGCAAACAGGAUUAGAUACCCUGGUAGUCCACGCCGUAAACGAUGAGUACUAAGUGUAGGGGAAACUCUGUGCUGUAGUUAACCAAUAAGCACUCCGCCUGGGGAGUACGAUCGCAAGGUUGAAACUCAAAGGAAUUGACGGGACCCCGCACAAGCGGUGGAUCAUGUUGUUUAAUUCGAUGAUACGCGAAGAACCUUACCAGGUCUUGACAUCCCAUGCAAAGCUAUAGAGAUAUAGUGGAGGUUAUCAUGGAGACAGGUGGUGCAUGGUUGUCGUCAGCUCGUGUCGUGAGAUGUUGGGUUAAGUCCCGCAACGAGCGCAACCCUUAUUGCUAGUUACCAUCAUUAAGUUGGGGACUCUAGCGAGACUGCCAGUGAUAAACUGGAGGAAGGUGGGGAUGACGUCAAAUCAUCAUGCCCCUUAUGACCUGGGCUACAAACGUGAUACAAUGGCUGAAACAAAGGGCAGCGAAGCAGUGAUGUGAAGCGAAACCCAAAAAAGCAGUCUCAGUUCGGAUUGUAGGCUGCAACUCGCCUGCAUGAAGUCGGAAUCGCUAGUAAUCGCGAAUCAGAACGUCGCGGUGAAUACGUUCUCGGGGUUUGUACACACCGCCCGUCAAACCACGAGAGUUGAUAAUACCCAAAGCCGGUGACCUAACCG
rnacentral:rRNA from 1 species